UCGUAGUGGUUUUCCGAAAGAAGCAGUAGAAGAAGUACUAUGAUCAUCCAUGACUGAUGUGGUUGUAGGAACUGCAGGUACAACUGAUGGUACAACAGAUGUGGUUGUAGAUGUAGAUGUAGACGAAGUACUCGAAGAGGAUGAAUGAAGAACAGAAGAAUCUUCCUUGGGAAAAAAGGCUGGUUUCAGACGUUCCGUUGAGACGUUGACCAAUUUUCCUGAAAUGUCAAUAGUAAACAAAAAAUCAGAAAUUCGUUUGUUAACAAGAAAAGGACCAGAAUAAGGUGCUUGAAGAGAUUUCUUAACAGCAUCUUCACGAAGCCAAACAUGAGUACAAUCGUAAAGAUUUUUGUGUACAAAAGGAUCUGCUGGAAAAUCUUCCUCAAUAAAGAAUUCACCAGGAAUCCGAAGAGUAGUUCCAUAGAGUAAUUCAGCAGGUGAAGUUUUCAAAUCUUCUUUGAAACACGAACGAAGACCAAGAAGAACAGUAGAAUUCCGUUUGAAGCUGGAUGAUAAGCAGAAGUUCUCUUGCGAUCACAUCCAAUCAAAUUAGUUAAUGCUUUAAAGAGAGAUGCUUCAAAUUGUGGGCCUUGAUCUGUAGUAAUAGUUAUAGGAGAUCCAUAUCUAGCCACCCAAUG